rnacentral:rRNA from 1 species
GGGUCAGUAGGUUGGUCGUGCCACCGGUACGUACUGGUCUCACUGAUUCCUCCUUCCUGAAGAACCGUAAUGCCAUUAAUUUGGUGUUGCGGGGAAACAGGACUGUUACUUUGAAAAAAUUAGAGUGUUUAAAGCAAGCUAACGCUUGUAUACAUUAGCAUGGAAUAAUGAAAUAGGACGAUCGAUCCUAUUUUGUUGGUUUCUAGGAUUGACGUA